rnacentral:rRNA from 1 species
GAAGGCCUUCGGGUUGUAAAGCUCUUUACAGCCGGAAAGAAAGCGCAUGGGUGAAUAACCUGUGUGGAUGACGGUACCGGAAGAAGAAGCACCGGCUAACUACGUGCCAGCAGCCGCGGUAAUACGUAGGGUGCGAGCGUUAAUCGGAAUUACUGGGCGUAAAGCGUGCGCAGGCGGUUUUGUAAGACAGAUGUGAAAUCCCCGGGCUUAACCUGGGAACUGCAUUUGUGACUGCAAGGCUAGAGUACGGCAGAGGGGGGUAGAAUUCCACGUGUAGCAGUGAAAUGCGUAGAUAUGUGGAGGAAUACCGAUGGCGAAGGCAGCCCCCUGGGUCGAUACUGACGCUCAUGCACGAAAGCGUGGGGAGCAAACAGGAUUAGAUACCCUGGUAGUCCACGCCCUAAACGAUGUCAACUAGGUGUUGGGGGGGGAGACUUCCUUAGUACCGCAGCUAACGCGUGAAGUUGACCGCCUGGGGAGUACGGUCGCAAGAUUAAAACUCAAAGGAAUUGACGGG